CUCUGCUUCCCAAAGAACACUAACUUCUCUGUUUACAUUUAUAGCUCAAUCAAGCACAUUAAAAAGAAAAAUCACCUCUGGUCCUUUGGAGUCCUCCAAAAUAGAAAUAAACCUAGAGGCUUAGUUCCCCUCCAGGCAAUUUCAAAAUUAAGAAAAUACAGACAUAUAGAAUCAUAUAGUAGGUAGCAAAUCCUCAUCACUCCAUUGGUUCAGGCACUUUAAAAUCCAUUUUGUGGUUAGUUACAAAUUCUUGUAGCUGCACCAGAUUGGAUACACCCAAGGGAGGAUCUGAGAUGUUUUCAGUAGCAAAGAUGCUUUCUGCAAGAAUCCCCUAUCUCCGGUAAUCACCCGGAAGACUAGAAGCUAUCCCGCCCCACAGCGAUUCGGUAAAAGUGCUGACUUAGCGGGGAGCAAAUUUGUCUUUCUUGGAACAGACAUCUUUUAUUUUCCAAACCAAGCCUCUUCUGAAGUCAUUUUCCGCCCUUAAGUUUUCUCCCGAAGAGA
rnacentral:lncRNA from 1 species